UAAUACGUAGGGGGCAAGCGUUGUCCGGAUUUAUUGGGCGUAAAGAGCGUGUAGGCGGCCAGGUAGGUCGGUUGUGAAAACUGGAGGCUCAACCUUCAGACGUCGACCGAAACCCCCUGGCUAGAGUCCGGGAGAGGAGAGUGGAAUUCCUGGUGUAGCGGUGGAAUGCGCAGAUAUCAGGAAGAACACCCGUGGCGAAAGCGGCUCUCUGGAACGGUACUGACGCUGAGACGCGAAAGCGUGGGGAGCGAACAGGAUUAGAUACCCUGGUAGUCCACGCCGUAAACGAUGGGCGCUAGGUGUGGGAGGUGUCGACUCCUUCCGUGCCGAAGCUAACGCAUUAAGCGCCCCGCCUGGGGAGUACGGCCGCAAGGCUAAAACUUAAAUGAAUUGACGG
rnacentral:rRNA from 1 species